AUAUUUUUGCUUUUUGUCCUUUUUUUUUAAUUGUUGGCAAUGGGAACAAAUUUUAGGAAUAAUUGUAAAAGAUGAUAUCCCUGAAAUUGACAAUUUUCAUAUAAAACAAAGCUAAACGAACACCAAAAACACUUUUACUUCAACAUUUUCUACGUAGAAAAUUAUACCAAUCAAACAUAAUAAUUUACAAUUCCGUGGAAAACAAUUUCUAGGUAAUUCAAUUCCCUAGAAUUCAUUUUCUUUCCACCCAAAUUCCAUCUUCGCAAUCAAACAGACUCUAAGUGUUUUGGUCGACUUGAUAAUAUUUAUUUUGCAGGAACCAGAGGACGUCGGGCCAACCAGAUUGGUGGGAUAUUUCAUGCUUAGCUGGCUAAUACUAUCCUUCAUACUGUUCAUUGCCUUCAAUCGAUAAGGCAAACGAUCAGUUGUUGAAAUUUUCCACAUAAAUUGUUUUAUUAAAUUAUAUAGCUUCAAUGGCUGAAUGAAUAGAAUUGCUCUAUAUUUCCCACGUCGUUAUGCCAAGUCAUUAAUCUAACUUUUCCAUAUAAAUACUUUCCAAAGACUGUAACUUAAAUCCUACAUACCACACCACCAAAUUGAUAGUACUUUUGAUCAUCAAAGCCAUUACAUGUGCAACUUCAUAGGCUUUGCCGUUCAUCUGAAACUAUGGCUCUUAUUUGUUUUGACUAUUAGCAGUGGCGGAUCUAGGUAGUAGUGAGUUAUUCGUCAAGAACAUUUUUUUUGUUGACGGUAGUUGAUAAAUAUUUUAUAUAUAUCUAAUAAUUCAUAUUUGUUCCAAGCAUCUCUAGUAACUCAUUUGGUUAGAGCCUCUACAUACAAAAUUGGAUUGAAGGUGCACGGUUCGAAUCUCUUCCUGACUAAAUUUAUUGCAUAACGUUUAUAGUUCUUCAAUUUUUACUAAAACUAAUGCAGUGGAGAGGGGAUUCAAACCUGUGACAUAUCAUUAAGGUUAUUGAAAAUUUAAUCACCAUGAAACUCAAUGAAUUUUGAUAUUAAAUGUAAUAGAGUAAUAUAUAUUUUAUUUUAGUUGUUUUAAUGCAAUUGAAAGGAUUCAAACCUAUGUUCUUUCCUUUGAAUUAUAGAAAACCCCGCCACUAUAUCAUUUGGUGAAAUCCGUGAUAACAUGUAACAAAAAUAUAAAUGUUCAAUAUUUUUCAAAAUAAUUAUUACAUUUAAUUUUUAAUAUUUUAUUAUAUUCACUGGUCAACGUCCGCCCAUGCUCAAUCGAAAUUCUGGAAUCGCCACUGACUAUUAGAACCUCUUCUGCUUCCAGUCACAAUAUUCGUCUCUAUAGUAUUCAAAUGAGCCAGCUUGAAGUCCUCUUCGAAUUGCUAGGUUGUUUAUUGUGGAAUCUGAAGCCUCUAAAGUCAGAAAGCACACUUCUUUGAGAAGUUUUAUGUCUGAUUACCACCCAAAUAAUAGUAGGCAUCACCCUCUCUCCUCAUUAAAGCCAAAUGACCUGCGAGGAUAACCAUACCGAUGACCGUGCACUCACAUGGAUGCGUGGGUCCCGCAUGAAUAAAAUAAUGCUCGACCCCCCAUGUGUUUGUAUGCAUUGAAUGAAAUGUUCGUUCUUCAUCUCCUCAUGGUAGCACACAUAGAAGAAGAAUUGACUGUAAGCUAUAAGAGUUUUAUCUUAAAUCGUGUAAUUUCGGAAGUACCUAUACGAAUGGAAGACCACACCACUUUAAGACAACAUCCUUAAUGUGACCUCCUAGAAAUUGCUUUCUA
rnacentral:lncRNA from 1 species